rnacentral:rRNA from 1 species
AUUGAACGCUGGCGGCAGGCCUAACACAUGCAAGUCGAGCGAGCGGCGGACGGGUGAAUAGUGUAUGGGGAGUGCCCUAUAGAGGGGGAUAAAUACUGGACACGGUGGCUAAUAACGCAUACUAUCAGCACACCCAUAUGGGAUUAGAUAGUAGGUGGGGUAAAGGCUCACCUAGGCGACGAUCCCUAGCUGGUCUGAGAGGAUGAUUAGCCACACUGGGACUGAGACACGGCCCAGACUCCUACGGAGGCAGCAGUGGGGAAUAUUGCACAAUGGGCGCAAGCCUGAUGCAGCCAUGCCGCGUGUAUGAAGAAGGCCUUAGGGUUGUAAAGUACUUUCAGCGGGGAGGCGUUACCCACAGAAGAAGCACCGGCUAACUCCGUGCCAGCAGCCGCGGUAAUUC